rnacentral:pre_miRNA from 1 species
AGAGAGAUAGCUGGAUUAAAUGGUGUUUCCAUUCCCAGAUUUCCAAGGAAUCUCCAUACUGUUUUCCAUAUUGGCUGCACCAAUUUGCAGUUCCACUAGCUGU